UACGGAGGGUGCAAGCGUUAUCCGGAUUCACUGGGUUUAAAGGGUGCGUAGGUGGGCAAGUAAGUCAGUGGUGAAAUCUCCGGGCUUAACCCGGAAACUGCCAUUGAUACUAUUUGUCUUGAAUACUGUGGAGGUCAGCGGAGUAUGUCAUGUAGCGAUGAAAUGCUUAGAUAUGACAUAGAACACCAAUUGCGAAGGCAGCUGGCUACACAAAUAUUGACACUGAGGCACGAAAGCGUGGGGAUCAAACAGG
rnacentral:rRNA from 1 species